UCUCUCUCUCUCUCUCUCUCUCUCAUGCUCUCAGGCACAUUUAUCCCUUCUCUUAAUGUACUUUCAUUUUGUUUCUACCUAAUUACACUAACACAUUUGUUCAAUCAGCUAAAGCCACAACUAUAGGAAUGAUGUCAAUUUUUCGUAUAAAGUCAACUCCUAACGCUCAUUGAAUUUAUACACUCUCUCACUCACCCCAAUAUCAAUUCCUGCAUUUGUUUCUCUUCUAGACGCACUUUACCUUCGGUGAUGCCUUUUAUUCCCUUUUCACAUGUCUCUCUAUUAUCAUCAUCAUUUGGGUCUCUUAUACUUUUCUUCAUCAUAAGAAUGUUUCAAAUCACGUUUUCCCAUGCCGUUUUGCUUGUUUUCUGUAUUCAUGAUGAAAGGGGGCCUCUAUUCUGUUCUGGAAUGAUUCUGAAAUUCCAAGUCAUUACUAAAUCAUGUUCCUUUUUUUCUUUGUUGGUUUUGUUUUUCUUUAAUGUAUGUUUGGAGCCACUUUUUACAAUUUAUUCUAAAAACAAAAUCAAGUUUAAGGUGAAACAUCUCUGUGUAGCUUGUGGGCUUCAAGGUCCGAUGAAAGAGAAGUUGAUUGAAACAUGCUAUUAAAGCUUUUGUUAUCUAUGCAUGUCGUUUAUGUUUUCUGAUGAAAUUUUCAUUAUGUCUCUUUAAUAAGUAUUAGAAGGACUCCUCCUUUACAACAAGUAUUAUACAUGACUUCUUCCAAAACAAUCUUUCUCAUGAUUGCUUUCUUCUACUCUAAAUAUCUUCUUCUAAGAGGGAUAUUAUAUCAAUUAAUCCUAGGAAAUAUGAAGUAUUGUUUGUCAAAUUUGACUCUUAAGCAUAUAUUUAUGUUCAGUUACAUGAUAGAGGUAGAAAGAAUUUGACUCUAAAAAAUAUCUACUCUAUAUGUUGAAGUUGACGAUGAUAUAUGAUCGUUCAUUUAAGUUUAUCAUCAGGAUCUCUCAUGAUGAUCUCUAAGAGCUUUGGGGCUUGAUUUCUUGUGAGCAUGAGAACUUAGUGGGCAUAGCCAACUUUUCAAAGUCUUCAGUUCUUCCCUUUAUACUUCCGAAUCUUCUGUGUGGUAGAUUGUAGUCGUUGGCGUGAUCUGUCAUAAAGGUGUGAUCUGUCAGCUUGUAGGUAGCAUAGGUCUGAGUUUCUAUAUUUUGGUGUAGAGAUAUGGAAAUUUGAUAGUGACACCACAGCACAUUUCUCUUCAUCAUAGCUUUGGUGGCAGAAAAGUAUUUUGAUCUUUAAAACUUCUGCACAAAGCUUUCAUGGCUUCUACUUUCAACGGAAAGUGUAUUGAUGUGGCUUGUGGCUUUCGUUGAAUGUAGGUUUCUUGUUCAGAUGCUACUUAUGCUUCUAUCGUCUUUCCUUUCUUCAGACGAUCUUUCUUCAUCAUUCUUCAAACGAUGAUAUUUCUUAAAUCAUUCUAUUCUCUUUCAGAUGUUCUUCUAUUGGGCUCGUUCUUCAUUCUUCUAACAAUGCAGUCUUCAUAUCAUGAUAGACGUUGGUUCCAACAGAAGUUCUGCUCCUAUCGUUUCUUCUAUAUGUAUAUGAUGGUUCUUGCUCUGGUCAUUUUUCUCUUUGAAGAUUUAUCAGUUUGGCGCAAGCUUCAUUCCUUUCUUUAAUUUUUCAGUUAGAUUGUGAGUGAUGGCUUUGACCAACAUCUUCUUCUUCAGAAAUGGAUUGUCGUGAGUCGCCUGAAAUGGAUAGAUGCUUGUAGACGUAGACAAUAAGCUUUGCUCCAUUUCUUCACUCCUUUUGUGAGAGAGAGAGAGAGAGAGAGAGAGAUAAAAAAAACUUUUGAUGUUGACAUGUUGUACUAGUUUCCUUGGUCAAAGUGCUUUGUAGAGUAUCACAUGAUUUCCUAGCAUUUGACUUUGUCCUCAACAAUGUCAUAGAUAUUUCCAUUUGUAUAUGGCGCUCUUUUCUCUAGACAAUGCUUUCUUUGAUCAGCCUUCAGAUAGACGAUGUAGAAGACGUUGAGUACAAUUUUCUCAAACAGUCCAAUAGCUUGACUUGAUCAGUUGCGUGUAUAGUCCUGAAGCUUUGCAUGUGUAGUUCGAAAGCUUUGACUAUCUGCUCAAGUGGAUGCGCUUGAAUCAUGUGUUAUUUCCUUCUGAAGAUGAUCUAGUUGAUUUGACCCUUCUUGUAAGUUGAUCCCUUCUUCUUCUUUCUCUAGAUAGGCGAUCUGGCAGAUGUUGUUUUUCCUUGCUGGCUCAUGCUGUCUUGAUACUUUUGAUUCUUCUUCUUAUUCUUCCUGGUUGAUCCAUUCAGCAUAAUCAACAUUUCAUUUGUUGUCAAUCAUGUCUUGCAGCUUUGAUCAAUAUCUUCUUUGUUGAUGAUCAGACGAUGUCACAUGUUUGACUUUCUUUUACUGUGUCGUCUGCCAUUGUAGCUUUACUCUUGCUUGUUCUUGACUGGGUUAACUUCUUGUAUUGCCUUGUAUGCUUUAGCCAGUCUUCUUCGUUGGAGAUGUCGUCUUCUUAUGGAUCAUAUGUUCCCCUUCGGUGGUCAUUGAGAAUGGAAAUCAUGUUUGGUGCUGCUAAGGGCCUUGCAUAUCUCCAUGAGGAAGCUGAGAAGCCUUUGAUAUAUAGAGACUUUAAAACUUCCAACAUUCUAUUGGACAACGACUACAAUGCCAAGCUUUCUGAUUUUGGGCUUGCACGAGAUGGUCCCGUUGGAGACUCUACUCAUGUCUCAACUUGUGUAUUGGGAACACAAGGGUAUGCAGCCCCAGAGUAUAUCAUGACAUGUUUGUAUAGUGGAUCAACAUUUUAAUAUGAUCUUCCGGGCACCUUACUGCCAAUAGUGAUGUGUACAGUUUUGACGUGGUUCUGCUUGAGAUGCUGAUCGGGAGAAAAUCCAUGGACAAAAAAAGGGGUCCAGAUGCGGAUAACAUGGUAGAGUGGGUGCGGCCUAAACUCAGAAAAGGGGGAUCAGUGUUCCAUGAACUGAUGGAUCCUCAGCUUGGAGGUCAGUAUUCAGGAAGAGCUGCUAAUAAGGUGAUGAAUUUGGCUUUGAAUUACGUUAGCUGGGACGGGAAAGACAGACCCGUACGUGAUGAGUGAAGUUGUGAAAGUCCUUAGCUCUCUUCCUCAUUACAAAGAGAAGAUGGCUUCUUCCUCUUCACCUUCCCCACCCCCACCCUUGAAUGUUAGCUCCUCUGACGAUGGUGAUUUCAUAAAAGGCUCUUCAGCAAGAGGCACACUGAAUCGCUUCAAAGCUUCCCCGUGCAACCUUCCUCUUCCUUCACCCAAAGCUAGUGGUGGAAGGCCAUGAAUGAUGAGAUUCAUCUGAAUCUUAUAUUGUUUAAGCUCUCUUUUAUUUCCUAGUAAUGACCUGGACUAUACCAAACGAGCACUAUGUAUAGAAACUAUGUAUGCACAGGAAAAGGAAAGGAAUAAUGUUUAAGUUUAGUUUUAAAGACAAAACUUAAAUUAUCUUCCUUUUCGUUUAGUAUUGUUCUGCUCUUGUAAUUCUAGUUGUUUUCAAAACUGGAUGCUAAGUUUUAUAACUAGUUCCGAUAAAUUCAAAUUUAUUUUCUCUUUCA